GGGUUGUGAUGCGAAUGGCACUGCGCGGUAGCUAAAUGCGGAAGAGAUAAGUGCUGAAAGCAUCUAAGCACGAAACUUGCCCCGAGAUGAGUUCUCCCUGAGACUAUAAGUCUCCUGAAGGAACGUUAAAGACGAUGACGUUGAUAGGCCGGGUGUGUAAGCGCAGCGAUGCGUUGAGCUAACCGGUACUAAUGAACCGUGAGGCUUAACCUUACAACGCCGAAG
rnacentral:rRNA from 1 species